rnacentral:rRNA from 1 species
GGUUGAUCCUGCCAGUAGUCAUAUGCUUGUCUCAAAGAUUAAGCCAUGCAUGUCUAAGUAUAAACAACUUUAUACUGUGAAACUGCGAACGGCUCAUUACAUCAGCAAUAAUUUAUUUGAUGGUUCCUUACUACAUGGAUAACUGUAGUAAUUCUAGAGCUAAUACAUGCGCAAAGUCCCGACUCUCGCGGGGAGGGAUGUAUUUAUUAGAUAAAAAACCAAUGGGCUUCGGUCCUUUUGUGUUGAAUCAUAGUAACUUAUCGGACGGCAUAGCUUUACGCUGGCCGCAGAU